rnacentral:rRNA from 1 species
CUUGGUCAUUUAGAGGAAGUAAAAGUCGUAACAAGGUCUCCGUAGGUGAACCUGUAAGUUUAUCAAUGCUCCAGAAAUGAUUAUCUUCACUACUAACAAUAUUCAGGCGGAGGGAUCAUUACAGAGUGAAGGUAGCUUCGGCUGCCGACCUCCAACCCAUGUUUGACUGUUCCUGUUCUUCCGAUACUUCUAGUGUCGGAAAGAUUAUUUCAAUUCGUUUACAAACAUUGUCAUACCAGCAAAAAAUAAAUCAAAACUUUCAACAACGGAUCUCUUGGCUCUAGCAUCGAUGAAGAACGCAGCGAAAUGCGAUAAGUAGUAUGAAUUGCAGAAUUCAGUGAAUCAUCGAAUCUUUGAACGCACAUUGCGCCCUUUGGUAUUCCUUAGGGCACACCUGUUCGAGCGUCAUUACACCACUCAAGCCUAGCUUGGUAUUGGGCGCCGCGGCUCCUGUCGCGCGCCUCAAAGACGUCGGCCGAGUCUUCAAGUCUCUUAGCGUUGUGCAAACUCUCGCUGGUGAGGAUUGAUGGCCCGCGCCGUAAAACCUUUCUUUUCAAGGUUGACCUCGGAUCAGGUGGGGACACCCGCUGAACUUAAGCAUAUCAAUAAGCGGAGGA